GCCCACCUGUGCCCGCCCAGGCUCCCUGCAGCCUCUCCCCAGGGAGGUCCCGGCUGCACAGGGGCUGCGACGUGUCCCCUCACCCGGUGCUGCCUCAGCAAGGGUCUCCAUCCCCCCGCCUCCCAGGGGUGCAUGCGGCCUGGGUCUUGCCUGGGACUGGCAGGGCUGCAUUCAGCCCGGGCACCACAAACACUCUCUCUGCUACAGUCGGUGCAGUGCUGUGGGCCUCAUUUGUCAUCUGUCACCACAGCUUCUUGUUCCCGGAGCAAGUUCUCAGCUGAACGGGGAGCUCCCUGGGGAGGGACCCCAGCAUGGGGCACACAGAGGAGCCAGAGAAUGGUGCCUGAGCUGAAGAGGUGUUCGCUGGGCAGAGGGCGGCCUCUGAGAUGCCCCACGGCUCGCACCUCCUGGGCUCACAGGGAGCAGGGCUGGGCAGCCAAGGGAAGCCUGCCACUCGUGAGCUUCCUUGGGGGGCGAGGAGGAGCCAUCGGGUGGGGGGGGCAGCGUAUGCAGGGAUCCUGACAGCGCAUGACAGGACUGUCAACAUCCUGUGGGUAAAACGAGCCUGCCCGUGCCCGAGAAGAGGACAGGAAACCAAGAGGGCAGGGCCAGAACUAAACUGACCAAGGUCCUGGUGUAGCAGGGGGAGGCAAAGACCUGGCAGACCUCAGGCUUUGCAAGACAAGGGUGCUUCGCGUGGCAGUGGGGUGCCCCCUGCAGAGCAGAAACAGGAGUCCUGGGGUCACAGCUAGGAGACAAAGGGCACAGGACCCGGUGACAGAAGAUCGACCGUCAGUGAAAAACAAGAGCAAAAACACAUCUCUCCAGGUCAAGCUGGAGGCGGGACUAAGAAAACCACUCUGGUCUGUUCACCAAAGACCUACCAAACACGGUCACCAAAAGAUUUAACACAAAAGGAUGUAAAAGUAUACUCCUGCUGACAUCCCCUUCUGGUCAGAAGGCUGAGGAUGGUGGAGCCCUCAGCUCCUGAUGAGAAGACAACUCGUCACCACUCAAGCUGGGGAUGCCGGGAGAACUGAAGUCUGCAGAGAGACGAGCCUGUCGAGGACACCCAGGGUGGGUGCCGGGCUGGCCCAGGGGGUCUGCCCGCAGGGACGGGGGCUUGGAGGGCUUGGUCAACCACCCAAACUAUCAAGCAUCUAACAUACAAGGAGCCGGAGGCCCCGAGGACAGGAGAGGGGAGACUACAGAAAAGUCUAACAACCCACUAA
ensembl:lncRNA